GUGACAAUGUAUGGAAACUGAUACAUUUUUUUCUGUAAAUAGAAAGUUUUUCCUGAAUGUACAUUUACUUUUGAUAAAUUUAAUGUAUUUUUGCUAAAUAAAAGUAUUAAUAACUUUAAUAUAUAUAUAUAUACCCUAAAUGUUUGAAAGCUAGUGUAUUCAAACUUAUGUCAUAUUUGGCUUCAACACAUGCAAACCAUUUUCCACUAAAGAAAUCAAAUCUACUAUAAUAACCAUGUCAGUUUGCCCUUUUUUUUCUAAAUGUGAAUUAGAUUUCUGAGUGAACAACUUAAAUUUCAUUCUGUUCCACAUACAAAGCUAUCAUACAGCUUCAGAAGACAUGGAAUACAGUGCAUGGGUCUGGUUUUAUGGUGAUUUUUAUUGUCCUUUUUGGAGCUUGACUAUGAUGGCCCAGUAGUCCACAACAAAAUGAAAUAUGCACAACAAUGUAAUACUUGGCCUAAAUAAGGCAGGCUACACAAAUAAAACUUUCCUUUUACCCCUUUAAAAAGCUUGUUUGAAUGAGUGAAGACACAAUAAAUGCCACAGGUAUCAAGGUUGAAUGCCAAACCAAGGUGUGUUAAAUGAAUAGACACCGAAAAAUUUAUACAAUUUAUACAAAAAAUUAAUGAGCAUUCAUUCGAACUUUCUUUUAAAGUCCAAUGUUAUGUGUGUGUGUGUGCAUGUGUGUUUGUUUUGAGUUCAGCCUCACUGGUGAAGUAUACUGAGUCCAAGAGCAUGUAGAGGAACACCGCUGUCUUGUGACGAAAUCCAAGAUAAAUAGUCCAACAAAGUUCGGCUAUUCCACAAGGAGAAUCCCAAAAGUCACAGAAAAAAAAGAAAAAAAAAAGAAAAGAAAAAACAGCAGAGUGUAUGAGACGAUUGAUCGUUGAUUAUAUUCCAAAAUGAGCACCCUGAGCGUUGUUGCUAAACGCCGAUAAACAAAACGCUUUUUUUAUUGGAAGUGUAAAAUCUGCUGAUUCUCUAAUGAGAAAAACAGGGUCCAGCAUACAGUGUAUUUUAUUGGCCCUGUUUUACUUUUUAUUUCAGCUGGGCCCUCCCACUUGGGCGCUAGCUUGUCAGAGAAUUUGUUAGAGGCACUGGAAAGAGGAUGGGUUUUUGACCAAACUCAGUUACCCAUUUUUUCUAUGGUAAUAAUAAUACCUAGCUUGUUUGGCUUGGCUCAUCCUCAUCCUGUUUUUCACCUCCACCAGGAUGUUCUGUUGUUCCACCAGGGAAUACGCAGCCUGAUCAGGUGAAGGUGGUCGGUGGAUUAGGCGUUCCAGUGGUCCCAGCACUUGCCUACCCAGCAUGAGCUCCGCAGGUGUCUUCCCCACUCUUUCCGUCUGGGUGGUCUUAAUGGCAUAGCGGAAUUCUGGUAGCCACUGGUCCUAGGUUUGAUGUGGUUGUCCAACGUAGGCAGCAAUCAUUGUUUUUACAGUCCGAUUGAUUCUUUCAGUUAAUCUCUGAACACAACCCAAUGUCUUGCACAGAUCACCCAAAAUGCUGGAGGUGAACUGGGGACCCCUGUCGGACACCAGUUACUUAGGGACUCCCCAACGAGUAAAAAUCUCCUCGCAGAGGAUUUUCACUAUUUUCUUGGCAUCCCUAAGUGGAAACAUCUCCAUAAUCAACAAUGACAAGGAGGUAGGUGUUCUGUUUUUUUGCUGGUGAGGAAUAGACCCAUUAGAUCCAUCCCUAGGGUGUGUUCAGGCUCUGUUGUCAAGUGAUGAGAAGAAAUUGAGAGGCAAGUGGCAGCAUUAGUAAAAGGUGACUCGUAUACCCGGGUUAACACAUCUGGACCCAUGUUGAGGCAGCACUACCUGUGAUGGACUUGAAAGUUGAGUUGUUGCAGUCGGAGAGUGAGGCAUGAAGAGGUUUUGGGGCAGUUGAAGGCCCAGGCGCGUGCAGCAUGAUCCGUAAAGACAUCAAAUGACCUCCCUUCCAGGUAAUGACUCUCACUUUUCAACAGCCCGAACCACAGCUAGACAUUCAUUUUCAAAUGUACUAUAAUUUCUUUCUGCACCUGUUAAGGUCUGUGAAGCAUAUGCCACCACCUUUCCUCCUUCAGAAGAGUGUUGAGUGAGGAUAGGACCCAGUCCUACAUCGCUCGCAUCUAUGUGAAGGUUCUGUUGAUGUCUGUUUGGAUAAGUACUGGUGAGUUCCGUGAUGCUUGUUUAAGCAUCCAUGCUAUCUUGACACUCUGGAGUCCACUCCCACUUAACUCCUUUCUUUUUAAGGUGGUUUAGUGGAGCAGCAAUGUCAGUAAAGUGGGGUAUGAACUUAUGAUACCACCCUGCCAAGCCCAGAAAUCUUUGCAGAGCUUUAAGUUCCUGCAGUGGGGGGAACUCUGCAACAGCCCUGGUCUUCUCUCAGUCAAUCUCUACACCCCCUUCGGAGACUAUAUGGUCGAGGAACUUGAGCUGUUCUUUGAAGAAGUGGCAUUUCUUCAUAUUCAGGGUCAAGUUGGCCUGGGUAAAUUUAUGGAAGACAGUGUUGAGAGGUUGAAUGUGCUGCUAUAAUGUCUUUGAAUAGAUGAUGAUAUCAUCAAUUUAGACGAAACUGAUCUUCCCCCUCAAGUCAGCCAGAACUCUCUCCAUCAAACGCUGGAAGGUGGCUGCAGAGUUUCUGAGUCCAUAUGACAUAGAAUUGAAUUGAAAUAGCCCCUUGGUGGUAAUAAAAGUGGUCUUCUCUUUACUCGCCUCAUGCAUCUCCACUUGCCAGUAUCCGAACCGCAGAUCCAAUGCACUGAACCAGGAGGCACCUUCCAGGGAUUCUAGGAUGUCAUGAAUCAAAGGCAUUGGGUACAGUCUUGAGAGUGGGUCCCUUCAGGACUGUACUCAGAGUUCGGAUGAGCUCAACGCUGGGGAGUGGCCUAAUCUCCAGAAAGUUCUCACAUUGCUUGAUGAAGCACUUGAGCACUUCUGCAGUCUUACAGGAGUCCCCAAAAGAGGGGAACUCAAGGGAAUGGGAGACCGAGCACAAAAUGAGGAUGAGCCAGCCAUAACUGAGGAGGUAAGCACAUUAGGUGGGUGAGUAGUAAGUAGUAUUUUGAGCUUUAUGAGUUGGAACUUUCUCUUUAACAAGCAGCAUUGGGGUCUGUGGACAAUGGACAGGAGAAAUGUGUGAGGAAGCUGGUGAUUAGGCCUGUAAUCUGGAGAGUGUGGGAGUACUGGUAAAUCUUUUUUUUUUUACUUUCCCAUUUAGCAUCUCUCCUUGCAUUGUUUGUACCAUUCGAAUAUUUAAAGUACAACUCCCUUCAUCAUCAUCAGACUGUUCAGAAUCAGAAAUGUACAAUGACCUAAGCAUAUAUGUUUUUUUAAGCAGUAGGAUUUGCCUAGUUACAAAUGGGCCUGGUGUAAAAUCCACGUCUGGUUGUUCAACAUUCUCUUGGUCAUUUACAGGUGUACAUGGGUUAUCUGUAUUCACAGUGUUCACAACAUUGACAUCAGUAACUGGAUCAGUAUUAGGUACAUCCAUCCUGAUAAUUACACAAAUCCAAACAAACACAAAAAAAAGAGAUCCCCGUACGGGCCACCAACAUGUAACACUCGGCCUAAAUACACCAAUAUAUAACACUCAGCCUUUCCUUUUACCUCUUUAAAAAUCUUGUUUGAAUGAGUGAAUACCAUAGACUGUAUAAAAACAUGGACAUAGUGUCUGUGAUGUCACCCGUAGGUUUCUGAAGAGUGUUUUUGAAGCUCAUCUUGGCAGCGCGUCACUCCCAGAUUAUUGAAAAUGGGCAAAGAGGCGGGAGCUGGUUGCUGAAACCACACCCACCUAACUCGACGGUGUUGACAGCAGCGGCAAUCCACCUGUCAGUCAAGUGGCCACGCCCUUAAUUAUGUACAAAUUCACCUCUCUCACAGUUGUCAUGAAUGGCAAAAUUAGCUCAAUAAACCAGGCUGAAAAACAUAUUUUUUUGUGCUGUAAAGUUGGGCAUUUUGACAUGGGGAGUCUAUGGGACUGACUCCCAUUUGGAGCCAGCCUCUAGCGGCCGGUUGAUGAAUUGCAGUUUUAGUCACUUCCAUGUUGGUUUCAGAGAGAGAACGGCCCUGCUUUCCAUUCGGAAGGGCUCAUUCCUAUGCCCUAAUCCCUUCAAAGGGUUUACCCUCUGGAGUGAGAGCUUGAAGGGUUGAGGGUGUAGGGGACCAAACAACUGUUUCUUGAAGUGCCCUUCUGUGUCAUCAUGCAAAGAAUCUGGCAAAGAAUCAUGGGAGCCCGAAGUGUCCAUCAGUUGUACCCUCUGAAGUGGCCAGUUUUGAGCACUUCGGUUUGGAAUGACCAUUCAGUAUUGCAGCCAUGAUUGUUUCCACUCUGAAGUGCCCUUCGGAGGGCGAUAUAUCCCAUUUGGAAUGCACCGCCGAAGGUUGCCACUUGGUGAAUACACAAUAAACGCCACAGGUAUCAAGAUUGAAUGCCAACCCAAAGUGUAUUAAAUGAAAAGACACUGAAAAACGAUAUACAAUAUCUACAAUAAAUGAAUGGGUGUGCAUUUGUACUGUCCUUUAAAGUCCAAUGUUGUGUGCGUGUGUACGCUUGUGUGUGUUUUCGGUUAGGCCUCACCGGUGAAGCAUAUGGUC
ensembl:lncRNA